GCCACCCGAGAAAACUACGAUAAGGGAAAACUAUGAUGCAUUCAAGGAAACACAUAUUUCUGAGUGCUAUAUAUCUUAUCAGGGUUAUAUGGGCUCAAAAUGUGGUCAUAAAUAUUUUGUACUUCUAAAUCAGUUUUGUACUUGUAAAUCAGGAUUUGUAUGCGUAAAACAAAUUUGUGUGUGUGUAAAAAAGAUUUGUAUGUGUAAAAAGAAUUUGUGUGUGCGUAAAAAAGAUUUUUAUGUGUAAAAAAAGAUUUGAGUGUGCGUAAAAAAGAUUUGUAUGUGUAAAAAAGAUUUGAGUGUGCGUAAAAAAGAUUUGUGUGUGGACUUAGCCAAAAAAAACCCUGCAAGUUACAAGUGUGAAUUUUGACCCUAUUUUUCUUCCUUUAAGCUGAUUGGUCAAUGUCAUGUCAAUCACAAAUUAAACAAUCCAAUCAGAGAGCUAAUGGGUUUGGCUGUCGGGGGGGGGUUGCUUUACGGACCUUCAGGUCCUGGAAGGGUAACACAGUUUGAAGAUGGAGAACGGCGGUGGCGCUUCUGCGGUGCAGGUGGCUUUAGGAAGACAUGUUUUCCAAAACCUUCAAAAUAGGCUGGUGCAGUCCUACCAACAGCAGCCCUUGGACCUUGAUCAUAUUGAGUUCCUCUGCGUGAACGCAUCAACUCUAGUCUGUUCUCUUUCUGCUCAUAUUAAUGUUCCAUCACUGGUAGGUUUAUUUGAUUUAGUUUUGGUUACCUUUAAAAAUCGUUUCAAUAUAUGCCAUUCUUAUGUAUCUUAUAAUGUUAAUUUUACAGUGUAGUAAUUAUGCUAUACAAAUAAACCUGUCAUCCAUUGCUUUGUUAAAUCCAAGAUGAAAUUUUGUUCUGUGUUUCAAUAUAAAGAUUGGGGAUAAGAAUAAUGUUACUAAAAUGGUAAGACUGAAUUCUAGGAUUCCAUCCAACUAAAUAUUUUAAUGCAACCAUUUUUUAGGUAGUUGAAGCUCUUCACCACCUCAUCUGCCUCAUCCAUUCCAAUAUGGAUACAAGAAGGUCUGCCAUUGUUGUUGACAGCUCAGCUGGUGAACGGGGGAGGGCAAAGCUCUAUGUUUCCAAAGACCACCUCAAAGAUCUACUAAAGAUGGACCUCUCCGUUUCUUGUAUCUCCAAGCUUUUGGGCAUAUCGCAGAAAACAGUCCGACGAAGAAUGGAAGAGUGGGGCCUCUCAAUAACGGCAACCUACAGCUCACUAUCAGAUGAUGAACUUGACAACUUAAUUGCAGCCAUAAAACAGGAAUCGAAAGAUCUGGGUUAGUUAUUCAUGUAAAAAAUAAUGCUGGUAAUAAGAUUCUAUUUUAUUUUUCUUGCUAGCAACCUUUCAUAUUUACAUGAAUAACACUAGCUGAAUGUCAUGAUUAGUUAGUAGUUUGAUUUACUGUACUAUAAGUGCCUUCCAAUGUGCUGUUGUAAUUGUUUCACUAUGGGAUGUCUUUUUAGGCUACAGAAUGGUUAAAGGCCGCCUCAGGGCACUGGGCCACAGGGUGCAGUGGAACAGAGUAUGGGAUUCCAUGCGUCGUGUUGACAGUGCUGGAAUCCUUGAAAGGAUGGCAAAUCUUGGAUGUGUUAUUAGAAGGACAUACAGUGUUCCUGGUCCUCUGUCACUGCUCCACAUUGACACCAACUAUAAGUUAAUUAGGUAAGUUUAACAUAACUCAAUAGUCAUAGGGCACAUUUGGGCUCAUUAAUAUUUAACUCAUUCAUGCAUAUGCAAAAACUGUAUUUUACAUUACGCCAUUACUUUACCACCAAGUUAGCAGUUUCUCUAAAUUCUAACAGAUUAAGAGAAGUUCACCAGCCUUUGCAUGCAUUUAGAAAUGUGUGAUCCACUUUCAAAUUUGACAAGUCCUAACUUGUAAUGUUUUAUAUUUUGAUUAUUGGUGAAAAAUGCAAUUAAUUAAUUAUACUCAGUGGCUGAAGUCUUAGGGACUGUGUCUUUGUCUCUUUACAGAUAUGGACUUGUGAUGUUUGGUGUUGUUGAUGGCUUCUCAAGGAAGGUUUGCAUUCUUCACUAAAAUAGCAGAAAAUGUGAUGCUAGUACUAGUACUUCCAUAAUGGCUCUUUAUUUUCAGAUCUUGUACUUGAAAGCAGCUAACAACAACAAGGCUUCUACAGCACUGACGUUCUUGCUUGAGGCUGUACAGAAGCAUGGAUUUCCAUCGAGGUAUAAUGUGAUAGGUUUAUAGCAUAAACCUACUCGCUGGAACGUUCAGGACAAUUUGCUACACAGCAGAAACAAGACACAAGUAGGCAAAGUUCUUUGUAGUACUCAUGCAUGAGGGAGACCUGCCUGGAGCCAAGUGUCGUUCCACCCACUUGACCUCCAUCAGACUCUCAGCCAGGUUCCCCAUAGCACUCCUUUUAUUGUGGUUACAUGAAUAUGCAUAGGGUCAUUAACAUAUGAUGUAUACAUGUGGACAAAGAAUACCGUGUGUGUGUGUGUGUGUGUGUGUGUGUGUGUGUGUGUGUGUGUGUGGGGUCAAGAUAUGACCCCAUGAAGACUCCCCAAAGCUGGUGCCAGGAGUCUAGCGGUCCAUCUAAACAAAAGGCACUUAGACUAAAACAGAUAUAUGUGUGUUUGCUAUACCAUAUAUCAGCAAGAAAAGAUACGACCUCUCCUAGGAGGUGUGUGAUCUAUGCCAGAACACUCUGAAGAGGAGUGAACGCACUCCCCUCUUCAUGCUACACAGAGUUGUUACAGACCUCCUGGGAUGAGACCUUCUUUCAAUAUGCCAUCAA
ensembl:lncRNA